rnacentral:rRNA from 1 species
UACAGAGGUCCCAAGCGUUGUUCGGAUUCACUGGGCGUAAAGGGUGCGUAGGUGGUGAGGUAAGUCGGAUGUGAAAGCUCGGAGCUCAACUCCGAAAUGGCAUUGGAAACUACCUUGCUCGAGGGUUGGAGGGGGGACUGGAAUUCCUGGUGUAGCGGUGAAAUGCGCAGAUAUCAGGAGGAACACCGGUGGCGAAGGCGGGUCUCUGGGCCGAUACUGACGCUGAGGAGCGAAAGCGUGGGGAGCGAACAGG